rnacentral:rRNA from 1 species
AGCUCCAAUAGCGUAUAUUAAAGUUGUUGCAGUUAAAAAGCUCGUAGUUGGAUUUCUGGCGUGAGCGGGUGGUCCGGCACUCUGUGUCGGUAUCUUAUCCGUCUCGCGCCAUCCUUGGGUGGAAGCUGUCUGCCAUUAGUUUGGCGGGCAGUGGUUGCCCAUCGUUUACUGUGAAAAAAUUAGAGUGUUCAAAGCAGGCUUAUGCCGUUGAAUAUAUUAGCAUGGAAUAAUAAGAUAGGACCUUGGUACUAUUUUGUUGGUUUGCGCACCGAGGUAAUGAUUAAUAGGGACAGUUGGGGGUAUUCGUAUUCAAUUGUCAGAGGUGAAAUUCUUGGAUUUCUGGAAGACGAACUACUGCGAAAGCAUUUACCAAGGAUGUUUUCAUUAAUCAAGAACGAAA